AAUUACAACUGACCUGCCAAUACCUCUAUGUUUAGUAAUUAUAAUCCUUAUGAGAAGAAGCCCCGCAAUCGACGAAUAUUUAUAUGAACAUUGGUUUUUAUAGAACAUUAGCAUAGUAACCGCUUACACUUAUUUUUUUAACAUCUUCAAACCAUACAUCUAUGAAAAACCCCACGUAAUGAUACACAUACUUGCCUAACCACCAUUCCUUAAUUGAUAAUUAAGUUAUCAAGAUAUGUGAAAUUAUAUAAGCAGCAUAUCCAAAUGUGUAUUGCUCAUUAAUUGUUAGGCAUUAAAAUUCGUAGUAUGGUUGAGCAAACGAAGUAUAAGAAAUGAUGUUUUACCAAUCAACCGACGAUAAUUCGCUCAGUUUACCAGCUACCAACAAAUUUCUUAGUUUAUGAAUGCUUGGUUCAACAUGAAGUAAUACUAAAUAGAACUUUGUUGAGAUUUCUCAAUAACAGACAAAAUAUACAUGAUAC